GCUGUGAUGGCUGAGUGGUUAAGGUGUUGGAUUUGAAAUCCACUGGGGGUUUCCCUUAUGCAGGUUUAAAUCCUGCUCACAGUG
rnacentral:tRNA from 1 species